UUUGUGAUUGAGGCUUUAGUGAAAGCGUUCCGCUUCCAGGUGGAUUCCCUACGGCCUCGGGCAGGCGGGAGUCUGAGCUGAAAGUGACAAAUGACUCCCGGGCAAUUUGACUUAUGCAAAGAAAUUCUGUGAUUCCGGAACAAGAAACUUCCAGUGUGGGGCCCGAAUCAGAUCCCGAGAUCGGGAUCCUGAGAUCCAAAGAGCGGUACCCAGGCUCUUUCUUGCUCAUGGCCUCACUCUAUGUCCCUUGGGUACUGUGUUCGUGGGCGGGCCGUGGGUGGUGGCACUCCUGCAACCUCAGGGAGAGUAACCCGGCGACAGCUUGAGGAACCUAAGGCGGCUUCUCAUUGGGCCUGACUGGGUCAUGUGCUCAGCUGGCCCAGUCUCUGUGGGUAGCGGCAGGCCCUGCUGUUGGAGAAUUGGGCAAGACCAGCCUGGCCUAGAGAAACCGGGAUACCAUCCCGGAAGCGGAAGUGCACAGACCAGGAGAGCCCUCGGCCUGCAUCUUCUGCAGGAGGGCGUCCAGGAGGGUUUUAGGGGCUAAAGAUGGUAGGGCAAAGCCCCCUGGUUGCUCCUUGGCGGGUUCUCCAAUUACUUACAUGGAGAUCACAUCAAUAUGACCCCCAAGAUGAUGCCAGGGGCCCUGCUUCUAGUAGAAUGGAGCCAUACCAGCUCUACAGACUUUAUUGGGGUCCAGGGUGGAGACACUUUUGGGAGCCAGCUUUGUCAGCAUCCCUGACAUCUGAGCUGCCCAGGCUGCACAGGACCAAGGGCUAUCUUCCAAUGGAUGUUGGAAGCCCGGAAGCCCCUUGACUGUUACCAGGCCGGGGUGUGGAGUGAUCCUCACAGGAGCUGCUGGGUUCUCUUGCUCUCUGGGCUUGCUUCAGGAUUUUUUCUUGAGCAGCCAUGGGACCUCACAAAGGAGUAGCACCUGAAUCAGCCUGCAAAGGCAUCUUCCACCAGUCCUAGGACCUGCAGGGGGCAGGGGGUGUUGCAGGCAGAUCUCCGUCUGACCCUGUCAUCUGAGUCACCCCAAUAAAGGUGUCAAGAGCU